rnacentral:rRNA from 1 species
UACGGGGGGGGCAAGCGUUGUUCGGAAUUACUGGGCGUAAAGGGCGCGUAGGCGGCCCCUUUUGUCGCGUGUGAAAGCCCCGGGCUCAACCUGGGAGGUGCGCGCGAAACGGGGGGGCUUGAGUUCGGGAGAGGAGAGUGGAAUUCCCAGUGUAGAGGUGAAAUUCGUAGAUAUUGGGAAGAACACCGGUGGCGAAGGCGGCUCUCUGGACCGAGACUGACGCUGAGGCGCGAAAGCGUGGGGAGCAAACAGG